CCUACGGGCGGCAGCAGUGAGGAAUAUUGGUCAAUGGACGAGAGCCUGAACCAGCCAAGUCGCGUGAAGGAUGACUGCUCUAUGGUUUGUAAACUUCUUUUAUAUGGGAAUAAAAUGUUCAACGUGUGGGUUUUUGUAUGUACCAUAUGAAUAAGGAUCGGCUAACUCCGUGCCAGCAGCCGCGGUAAUACGGAGGAUGCGAGCGUUAUCCGGAUUUAUUGGGUUUAAAGGGAGCGUAGGUGGUUUGUUAAGUCAGCUGUGAAAGUUUGCGGCUCAACCAUAAAAUUGCAGUUGAAACUGGCUGACUUGAGUAUAUUAGAGGUAGGCGGAAUGCGUGGUGUAGCGGUGAAAUGCUUAGAUAUCACGAAGAACUCCGAUUGCGAAGGCAGUUUACUAAACUGCAACUGACACUGAGGCACGAAAGUGUGGGGAUCAAACAGGAUUAGAUACCCCUGUAGUC
rnacentral:rRNA from 1 species